AAGACCUUGCGCUUUUGGAGCGGCCGAUGUCUGAUUAGCUUGUUGGUAAGGUAAAAGCUUACCAAGGCUUAGAUCAGUAGCUGGUCUGAGAGGACGACCAGCCACACUGGGACUGAGACACGGCCCAGACUCCUACGGGAGGCAGCAGUGGGGAAUUUUGGACAAUGGGGGCAACCCUGAUCCAGCCAUGCCGCGUGAGUGAAGAAGGCCUUCGGGUUGUAAAGCUCUUUCAGCCGGAACGAAACGGUUACGGUUAAUACCCGUGACUACUGACGGUACCGGAAGAAGAAGCACCGGCUAACUACGUGCCAGCAGCCGCGGUAAUACGUAGGGUGCAAGCGUUAAUCGGAAUUACUGGGCGUAAAGCGUGCGCAGGUGGUUUUGUAAGUCAGAUGUGAAAUCCCCGGGCUUAACCUGGGAACU
rnacentral:rRNA from 1 species